rfam:Capsicum annuum cultivar Zunla-1 chromosome 6, whole genome shotgun sequence
GUCUGAUGGUGGGAGGGAAAUCUCUAAGAUGAGAUUGGAAUCUCUCCCAUGCUUGAUAUAUUUUUUACCAAUUUUCUUCUUAAAACUUAAAAUCUCACUUUUCAACUU